GGGCGCAAACUAAUGCUGAAGAGAAGCUUCUCCUUGAAAACAGCGUUUAUAAAUGGCUCCUAUUGUGUGAUGACUAAUAGUCCAGGUAGUGGCAUCCAGCUGAGUUCUGACAGUCCCUCUUUACUCUUCCCCAGGCUUAGUCUGUGGGCUGCAGGGGGCCAGCGCUGACUGACAGAGACCCUGCCGUGAGAGGUGGAGAGCUCCUCAUGAGCCUCAGCAUGCAGCCCCUGUCCCAGGCCCGCCUUGAGGCCUCCGGCCACUCUCAGACCUCAUCCACAGA